rnacentral:rRNA from 1 species
ACUCCUACGGGAGGCAGCAGUAAGGAAUAUUGCGCAAUGGGCUACAGCCUGACGCAGCGACGCCGCGUGGGGGAUGAUGGUCUUCGGAUUGUAAACCCCUUUCGGCAGGGAAGAUGGAACGGGAAACCGUCCGGACGGUACCUGCAGAAGCAGCCACGGCUAACUUCGUGCCAGCAGCCGCGGUAAUACGAAGGUGGCAAGCGUUGUUCGGAUUUACUGGGCGUACAGGGAGCGUAGGCGGUUGGGUAAGCCCUUCGUGAAAUCUCCGGGCCUAACCCGGAAAGUGCGGAGGGGACUNCUCGGCUAGAGGAUGGGAGAGGAGCGCGGAAUUCCCG